UACGUAGGGGGCAAGCGUUGUCCGGAUUUAUUGGGCGUAAAGAGCGUGUAGGCGGCCGUACAGGUCAGCUGUGAAAACUCGAGGCUCAACCUCGAGACGUCGGUUGAAACCGUACGGCUAGAGUCCGGAAGAGGAGAGUGGAAUUCCCGGUGUAGCGGUGAAAUGCGCAGAUAUCGGGAAGAACACCCGUGGCGAAGGCGGCUCUCUGGGACGGUACUGAC
rnacentral:rRNA from 1 species